AAAUAACCUUACCACUACACAACCCACUAUUAAUAUUGAGUAACUCCAUAAAAAUAUGGAAGAUAUAAUGCUAGAACUAGUAACAAGAAGUAGAACUUCUCCAAAAUGUAAGCUUAAGCCACCCUAGACACCCUACUGGCAAUUAACGUAUAUGAAUCCACUUUACUAACCCCCCAAGAAAUUUUUUAAUAUUUUUACGUUAAACUUACACUAGAACAUUUAUGGAAAGAUCAUAAGAAAAAGAAGGAACUCGGCAAAUAUUAACCUCGCCUGUUUACCAAAAACAUCGCCUCUUGCCCAAAUAUAAGAGGUCCAGCCUGCCCAGUGACAAAAUUUAACGGCCGCGGUACCCUAACCGUGCGAAGGUAGCAUAAUCAUUUGUUCUUUAAAUGAGGACUAGUAUCAACGGCACCACGAGGGUUAAACUGUCUCCUUUUUCAUAUCAGUAAAACUAAUCUCCCCGUGAAGAAGCGGGAAUAAUUUUAUAAGACGAGAAGACCCCAUGGAGCUUUAAACCCAACUACACCCCCCUUAAUUUUACCUCUUAGCACUCAAGAUCCUGUAUGUUCCGGUUUUAGGUUGGGGUGACCACGGAGCAUAGAUUAGCCUCCAUAAUGAAUAGACCUCCUCUUUAUCCAAGAUUUACACCUCUAAGAAUUAGCAUUCUAACAUAAAAUGAUCCGAUAUUCGAUCAACGAACCAAGUUACCCUGGGGAUAACAGAAGCAAUCUACUUAAAGAGCUCCUAUCCACAAGUGGGUUUACGACCUCGAUGUUGGAUCAGGGUAUCCCAGUGGUGCAGCAGCUGCUACAGGUUCGUUUGUUCAACGAU
rnacentral:rRNA from 1 species